rnacentral:rRNA from 1 species
AGUGAACGCUGGCGGUAGGCCUAACACAUGCAAGUCGAACGGCAGCACAGUAAGAGCUUGCUCUUACGGGUGGCGAGUGGCGGACGGGUGAGGAAUACAUCGGAAUCUACUUUUUCGUGGGGGAUAACGUAGGGAAACUUACGCUAAUACCGCAUACGACCUACGGGUGAAAGCAGGGGAUCUUCGGACCUUGCGCGAUUGAAUGAGCCGAUGUCGGAUUAGCUAGUUGGCGGGGUAAAGGCCCACCAAGGCGACGAUCCGUAGCUGGUCUGAGAGGAUGAGCAGCCAAACUGGAACUGAGACACGGUCCAGACUCCUACGGGAGGCAGCAGUGGGGAAUAGUGGACAAUGGGCGAAAGCCUGAUCCAGCCAUACCGCGUGGGUGAAGAAGGCCUUCGGGUUGUAAAGCCCUUUUGUUGGGAAAGAAAAGCAGCAGGUUAAUACCCCGCUGUUCUGACGGUACCCAAAGAAUAAGCACCGGCUAACUUCGUG